rnacentral:rRNA from 1 species
AUUGAACGCUGGCGGCAGGCCUAACACAUGCAAGUCGAGCGAGCGGCGGGCGGGGGAGUAUAACGUGGAAACAUGCCUGAUGGAGGGGGGGAACUACAGGUAACGGUAACUAAUACCGCAGCGCAUCAGAUUUGCCCCGAUGGGAUUAGCUAGUAGGUGGGGUAACGGCUCACCUAGGCGACGAACCCUAGCUGGAAUGAGAGGAUGACCAGCCACACUGGACCUGAGACACGGUCCAGACUCCUACGGGAGGCAGCAGGGGGGAAUAUCGGACAAUGGGGGAAACCCGGCUCCAGCCAUCCCGCGUGUGGGAUGAAGGCCUUCGGGUUGUAAAGCACUUUAGGCAGGAAAGCGGUACCUGCAUAAUAAGCACCGGCUAACUACGUGCCAGCAGCCGCGGUAAUAC